rnacentral:rRNA from 1 species
CCUACGGGAGGCAGCAGUGAGGAAUAUUGCGCAAUGGGCGAAAGCCAGACGCAGCAACGCCGCGUGGGCGACGAAGGUCUUCGGAUCGUAAAGCCCUUUUCUAGAGGAAGAGGAAGGACAGUACUCUAGGAAUAAGUCUCGGCUAACUACGUGCCAGCAGCCGCGGUAAAACGUAGGAGGCCAGCGUUAUCCGGAUUUAUUGGGCGUAAAGCGCGUGUAGGCGGUGUUUUAAGUUGGACGUGAAAUCUCCUGGCCUAACUGGGAGGCGCCGUUCAAUACUGAAGCACUUGAGGGCAGAAGAGGGAAGUGGAAUUCCCGGUGUAGCGGUGGAAUGCGUAGAUAUCGGGAGGAACACCUGUGGCGAAAGCGGCUUCCGGGCCUGCUCCUGACGCUGAGACGCGAAAGCUAGGGGAGCGAACGGGAUUAGAUCCCCCGGUAGU